rnacentral:rRNA from 1 species
GUGGGGAAUAUUGGACAAUGGGCGCAAGCCUGAUCCAGCCAUGCCGCGUGUGUGAAGAAGGCCUUUUGGUUGUAAAGCACUUUAAGCGGGGAGGAGGGUACUCUUGUUAAUACCAAGAAGUAUCGGACGUUACCCGCAGAAUAAGCACCGGCUAACUCUGUGCCAGCAGCCGCGGUAAUACAGAGGGUGCGAGCGUUAAUCGGAAUUACUGGGCGUAAAGCGCGCGUAGGCGGUUAUUUAAGUCGGAUGUGAAAUCCCCGAGCUCAACUUGGGAAUUGCAUUCGAUACUGGGUAGCUAGAGUAUGGGAGAGGAAGGUAGAAUUCCAGGUGUAGCGGUGAAGUGCGUAGAGAUCUGGAGGAAUACCGAUGGCGAAGGCAGCCUUCUGGCCUAAUACUGACGCUGAGGUGCGAAAGCAUGGGGAGCAAACAGGAUUAGAAACCCCAGUAGUCC